rnacentral:tRNA from 1 species
AGGCCUAUAACUCAGCGGUUUAGAGUGUACGCCUGAUAAGCGUAAAGUCAGUGGUUCAAGUCCACUUAGGCCUA